GUCUUUAAGAUAAUAAUUUAAAGUCAAAACUGCUCCAUGAAAAUAUUUUUAAAUAGCUGCAGUAAUUUGACUGUACUAAGGUAGCAUAAUCAAUAGUUUUUUAAUUGAAAGCUGGAAUGAAAGAUUUAAUGAAAUAUAAACUGUCUCAAAUUUAAUUUUUGAAUUUUUUUUAUUAUUUAAAAAAAUAAUAUGAUUUAAAUAGACGAGAAGACCCUAUAGAUUUUAAUUUUUAAAUAUAUACAUAUAUAAUAUAUUUUAAUGAUUAUAAAAUUUUUAUUAAUAAAAAUUUAAUUGGGGUGAUUAUUAAAUUUAUAAAACUUUUUUAUUAAAAUACAUUAAUUAAUGAAUUUUUGAUCUUAAUUAUUUAGAUUAUAAGAUUAAAAUACCUUAGGGAUAACAGCGUAAUUUUAUUGGAGAGUUCAUAUUGAUAAUAAAGAUUGC
rnacentral:rRNA from 1 species